AGCUGUUUCCACCAAAUCCUCCUGUCUUUCGUGGCCAACACCCCAGGCAAGGCUUGGGGCCCCUGUCUGCUGCUGGACGCAGAGCCAUGAAGAAGAAGUUAGUGGUGCUGGGCCUGCUGGCCGUGGUCCUCGUGCUGGUCAUUGUCGGCCUCUGUCUCUGGCUGCCCUCAGCCUCCAAGGAACCUGACAACCAUGUGUACACCAGGGCUGCCGUGGGCGCGGAUGCCAAGCAGUGCUCGGAGAUUGGGAGGGACGCACUGCGGGACGGUGGCUCUGCGGUGGAUGCAGCCAUUGCAGCCCUGUUGUGUGUGGGGCUCAUGAAUGCCCACAGCAUGGGCAUCGGGGGUGGCCUCUUCCUCACCAUCUACAACAGGACCACUCAUGAGUCUGAGGUCAUCAACGCCCGCGAGGUGGCCCCCAGGCUGGCCUUUGCCAGCAUGUUCAACAGCUCGGAGCAGUCCCAGAAGGGAGGGCUGUCGGUGGCGGUGCCUGGGGAGAUCCGAGGCUAUGAGCUGGCACAUCAGUGGCAUGGGCAGCUGCCCUGGGCUCGCCUCUUCCAGCCCAGCAUCCAGCUGGCCCGCCAGGGCUUCCCUGUGGGCAAGGGCUUGGCGGCAGCCCUGGAAAACAAGCGGACCGUCAUCGAGCAGCAGCCUGUCUUGUGUGAGGUGUUCUGCCGGGAUAGAAAGGUGCUUCGGGAGGGGGAGAGACUGACCCUGCCGCGGCUGGCUGACACCUACGAGAUGCUGGCCAUCGAGGGCGCCCAGGCCUUCUACAACGGCAGCCUCAUGGCCCAGAUUGUGAAGGACAUCCAGGCGGCUGGGGGCAUUGUGACAGCUGAGGACCUGAACAACUACCGUGCUGAGCUGAUCGAGCACCCGCUGAACAUCAGCCUGGGAGACGCGGUGCUGUACAUGCCCAGUGCGCCGCUCAGCGGGCCCGUGCUGGCCCUCAUCCUCAACAUCCUCAAAGGGUACAACUUCUCCCAGGAGAGCGUGGAGACCCCCAAGCAGAAGGGCCUGACGUACCACCACAUCGUAGAGGCCUUUCCGGUUUGCCUACGCCAAGAGGACCCUGCUUGGGGACCCCAAGUUUGUGGAUGUGACUGGGGUGGUCCGCAACAUGACCUCCGAGUUCUUCGCUGCCCAGCUCCGGGCCCAGAUCUCUGACCAUACCACUCACCCGAUCUCCUACUACAAGCCCGAGUUCUACACGCCGGAUGACGGGGGCACUGCUCACCUGUCUGUCGUCGCAGAGGACGGCAGUGCUGUGUCGGCCACCAGCACCAUCAACCUCUACUUUGGCUCCAAGGUCUGCUCCCCGGUCAGUGGGAUCCUGUUCAAUAAUGAAUGGACGACUUCAGCUCUCCCAGCAUCACCAAUGAGUUUGGGGUGCCCCCCUCACCUGCCAAUUUCAUCCAGCCAGGGAAGCAGCCGCUCUCAUCCAUGUGCCCGACGAUCAUGGUGGGCCAGGACGGCCAGGUCCGGUUGGUGGUGGGAGCUGCUGGGGGCACGCAGAUCACCACAGACACUGCACUGGCCAUCAUCUACAACCUCUGGUUCGGCUAUGACGUGAAGAAGGCCGUGGAGGAGCCCCGGCUGCACAACAAGCUUCUGCCCAACGUCACGACAGUGGAGAGAAACAUUGACCAGGCAGUGACUGCAGCCCUGGAGACCCGGCACCAUCACACCCAGAUCGCGUCCACCUUCAUCGCUGUGGUGCAAGCCAUCGUCCGCAUGGCUGGUGGCUGGGCAGCUGCCUCGGACUCCAGGAAAGGCGGGGAACCUGCUGGCUACUGAUUGCUCCAGGCAGACAAGGCUGACAAGCAAUCCAGGGACAAGAUACUCACCAGGAUGAGGAAGAGGACUUUGGGGGACGGGCUUCCCCUGUGA